rnacentral:rRNA from 1 species
AGAGUUUGAUCAUGGCUCAGAUUGAACGCUGGCGGCAGGCCUAACACAUGCAAGUCGAACGGUAACAGGAAACAGCUUGCUGUUUCGCUGACGAGUGGCGGACGGGUGAGUAAUGUCUGGGAAACUGCCUGAUGGAGGGGGAUAACUACUGGAAACGGUAGCUAAUACCGCAUAACGUCGCAAGACCAAAGAGGGGGACCUUCGGGCCUCUUGCCAUCAGAUGUGCCCAGAUGGGAUUAGCUAGUAGGUGGGGUAACGGCUCACCUAGGCGACGAUCCCUAGCUGGUCUGAGAGGAUGACCAGCCACACUGGAACUGAGACACGGUCCAGACUCCUACGGGAGGCAGCAGUGGGGAAUAUUGCACAAUGGGCGCAAGCCUGAUGCAGCCAUGCCGCGUGUAUGAAGAAGGCCUUCGGGUUGUAAAGUACUUUCAGCGGGGAGGAAGGGAGUAAAGUUAAUACCUUUGCUCAUUGACGUUACCCGCAGAAGAAGCACCGGCUAACUCCGUGCCAGCAGCCGCGGUAAUACGGAGGGUGCAAGCGUUAAUCGGAAUUACUGGGCGUAAAGCGCACGCAGGCGGUUUGUUAAGUCGGAUGUGAAAUCCCCGGGCUCAACCUGGGAACUGCAUCUGAUACUGGCAAGCUUGAGUCUCGUAGAGGGGGGUAGAAUUCCAGGUGUAGCGGUGAAAUGCGUAGAGGUCUGGAGGAAUACCGGUGGCGAAGGCGGCCCCCUGGACGAAGACUGACGCUCAGGUGCGAAAGCGUGGGGAGCAAACAGGAUUAGAUACCCUGGUAGUCCACGCCGUAAACGAUGUCGACUUGGAGGUUGUGCCCUUGAGGCGUGGCUUCCGGAGCUAACGCGUUAAGUCGACCGCCUGGGGAGUACGGCCGCAAGGUUAAAACUCAAAUGAAUUGACGGGGGCCCGCACAAGCGGUGGAGCAUGUGGUUUAAUUCGAUGCAACGCGAAGAACCUUACCUGGUCUUGACAUCCACGGAAGUUUUCAGAGAUGAGAAUGUGCCUUCGGGAACCGUGAGACAGGUGCUGCAUGGCUGUCGUCAGCUCGUGUUGUGAAAUGUUGGGUUAAGUCCCGCAACGAGCGCAACCCUUAUCCUUUGUUGCCAGCGGUCCGGCCGGGAACUCAAAGGAGACUGCCAGUGAUAAACUGGAGGAAGGUGGGGAUGACGUCAAGUCAUCAUGGCCCUUACGACCAGGGCUACACACGUGCUACAAUGGCGCAUACAAAGAGAAGCGACCUCGCGAGAGCAAGCGGACCUCAUAAAGUGCGUCGUAGUCCGGAUUGGAGUCUGCAACUCGACUCCAUGAAGUCGGAAUCGCUAGUAAUCGUGGAUCAGAAUGCCACGGUGAAUACGUUCCCGGGCCUUGUACACACCGCCCGUCACACCAUGGGAGUGGGUUGCAAAAGAAGUAGGUAGCUUAACCUUCGGGAGGGCGCUUACCACUUUGUGAUUCAUGACUGGGGUGAAGUCGUAACAAGGUAACCGUAGGGGAACCUGCGGUUG